UCCUGCUAUGAAUAGACACAGAGACACAAAGCAUGGCUCACAAAGAUCCACGGCGCACCGGCCCUGAACCCAAACAGCCCCACGCCUCACUGUGCACCCACAACAUCGGCUAGCCAUGGUCUCAUCUCUGCAGACAGGGGAAAACACCUGUCACAUCUCCAGGCACAAGUACACCCAUCCAUGUCUGAACUGAGGAUAUUAAAGUAAGUAUUUGGAUGUUUUGAUCACCAUAAACCCCCUUACUGAGAAGUCUUUGUGUGAAAUCAGAUCAGAUUUUUUAAUUAUUGAUCAAUUGUUCUAGUCAUUUAUCC